CCCUUAGAUGUUCUGGGCCGCACGCGCGCUACACUGACUAGAUCAACGAGUUGUCCACCUUGGCUGAAGAGUCCGGGUAAUCUUGUAAAAUCCAGUCGUGAUGGGGAUAGAUUAUUGCAAUUAUUAAUCUUCAACGAGGAAUUCCUAGUAAGGGUGGUUCAACAGACCGCCCUGAUUACGUCCCUGCCCCUUGUACACACCGCCCGUCGCUACUACCGAUUGAGUGAUCCGGUGAAUAAUUCGGACUGCAGCACUGCUUGGUCUCCAGGCUUUGCAGCGGAAAGUUUAGUGAACCUUAUCACUUAGAGGAAGGAGAAGUCGUAACA
rnacentral:rRNA from 1 species